AUUGAACGCUGGCGGCAGGCCUAACACAUGCAAGUCGAGCGAGCGGCGGACGGGUGAGUAAUGUCUGGGAAACUGCCUGAUGGAGGGGGAUAACUACUGGAAACGGUAGCUAAUACCGCAUACCAUCAGAUGUGGCAAGGGGGGAUUAGCUAGUGGGUGGGUUAACGGCUAACCUAGGCGCCGAUCCCUAGCUGGUCUGAGAGGAUGACCAGCCACACUGGAACUGAGACACGGUCCAGACUCCUACGGGAGGCAGCAGUGGGGAAUAUUGCACAAUGGGCGCAAGCCUGAGCCAGCCAUGCCGCGUGUGUGAAGAAGGCUUGCGGGUUGUAAAGCACUUUCAGCGGGGAGGCGUUACCCGAAGAAGAAGCACAGGCUAACUCCGUGCCAGCAGCCGCGGUAAUUA
rnacentral:rRNA from 1 species